rnacentral:lncRNA from 1 species
UUAGAUUGGACAAGAUGGAAGAAGGUGGAAAAUAACACAAUAUAAGGGGGCAAAAUCCCAGCCAAACAUACUGACUCGAAAGAGCACAUAAAGAUGAUAAAGUUUGGGGACAGCAUGCUGGGGUCAUUCCGAAGUGAUAAAAGACAUCGAUGAAAAAAGUGGUGAAGGGGAAUGUCAGCCUAAAGUCGCAUUGCUUAAUGAAGAAAACUAAGUUACGACCUUGCUGGGGUCUAUCAAACCCGUCGUAGGUGGGUUGGAGAG